ACCUCAAGGUCACAGAGGGCCUAGUUCCUGUGCAUGGGAGCAGGGCCAACCUCCAGCUUGCCCUUUCUCUUGACCCAGAAACCAUAUUUCCUGGCUCUGGGGUGGAGUAUGUACUUUACAUGGGCAACUCUACAUGCUACCUCCUCCAGGGUGUGUGGAUCCUGUGAUGGGCAUCUGAAGGUCAUGGAUCUUACUACCAUGUCUAGGUCUCUGCUAGAAAGAGGCAGGGACAUAUAGUGGGAAGACAUCACAGAAAGAAGCGAGAGGGCUGGAGAGAUGGCUCAGCAGCUGAAGUGAGAGGACUGGAGCUGGGAUCCCCAGAUCCCAGGAUCACAUAGGAAGAAGCCUUGCUGCUUCUAUGACCUUAUGGGCCGUGUGAAGAAUUUUGUCGUGAAUGAAGCCAUGAUGCUGAGCCAUUUGACAUCUGUG